rnacentral:tRNA from 1 species
GUGGUUGUAACUCAGCGGUAGAGCGCUAACCUAGCACGAUCAAGGCCCUGGGUUUGAUUCUCAGCACCACA